GACGAACGCUGGCGGCGUGCUUAACACAUGCAAGUCGAACGAUGAACCGGGUGCUUGCACUUGGGGAUUAGUGGCGAACGGGUGAGUAACACGUGAGUAACCUGCCCUGGACUCUGGGAUAACCCCGAGAAAUCGGAGCUAAUACCGGAUAGGACCUUUCCUCGCAUGCGGUUUGGUGGAAAGUUUUUCGGUCGGGGAUGGACUCGCGGCCUAUCAGCUUGUUGGUGAGGUAAUGGCUCACCAAGGCGUCGACGGGUAGCCGGCCUGUGAGGGUGACCGGCCACGCUGGGACUGAGACACGGCCCAGACUCCUACGGGAGGCAGCAGUGGGGAAUAUUGCACAAUGGGCGCAAGCCUGAUGCGGCAACGCCGCGUGCGGGAUGACGGCCUUCGGGUUGUAAACCGCUUUUAGUAGGGAAGAAGGGCUUCGGCUUGACGGUACCUGCAGAAAAAGGACCGGCUAACUACGUGCCAGCCGCCGCUGUAACAC
rnacentral:rRNA from 1 species